rfam:Oryza sativa (indica cultivar-group) chromosome 8, whole genome shotgun sequence.
AAAAAGACAAACACUAUGUUUCUGUGUCCAACGUUUGACUAUUCGUCUUAUAUAAAUUUUUUUUAUAAUUAGUAUUUUCAUUAUUGGUAGAUGAUAAAAUAUAAUUAAUACUUUACAUGUAACUUGAUGGACGGUCAAACGCUGGACACGGAAAUCCAGGGUUUCUCUUUUU